AGGAGACAGAGCCGAUCGUGUUGAGGAUCCGCCACCCUCGCACGACAGAGCCGCCGCUCUUGAGAACGCCACACCAGAUCCCUUCGCUGUCGCCCUCGCACAUCAAACCCACCGCCUCCCUUGCGAGGACGCCCGAUCAUGGGUCUCCAUCGGCGCCAGGACGGCCGCGGCCUCCCGACCGCCGACGCUCCAGAUCCGCCUGUCGUUGACCCCCUCUACAUUAGUGAUCGGUCAAGGCAGGGGGCGUGGCGAUAUCCAUCUUUCCGCAUGUACGGCGGCCGGUGCCCGCGUCCGUGUAUCCUGCGCCAAGGGUGUCGUAUUCAUCUCAAGGAGGUCCUCUCAGUCCUUCCCGGCGACGAUGCCGAGCCGGGAUUCCUCCUCCCACAGAUCCAUUGAUCCAUGGUCAGAUCUCAAGGAGGAGGGGCGUGCAGCGAUUGCCACCGUCGGUGCCUGCACUGGAAGGUCUCUGGCGCCUGCUCCAACCAGAUCCAGCCGGACUGCCAUCCCAUUGCGAUAUGUGUGCCGCUCCUGUUGUGCAUUUGCUGGUUAAGCUGCUGCUUGUGCAAAAUAUGCUUACUGCUACCUGGGCUCACAUGACCCAGAGAAAGGAGCUGCGCAAGGAAUCACUGCCAGAAGAUUCAAUACGAGUUUGAAGAGUCUUGGACUCUAGGCCAAUUUCGGCAAGGAAGCAGCAAUGCGAGCUAGCCGAGGGUUCAGACUGAUGUGCGCUUUGAUUCUCGCUGAUUUAUGAUUUUGACCAAACCAAGCUGCUUUGGUUAUGACGAAGGAGAACCCGCUGUUCCUAGAGGCCUGACGCGUGGUCGAUCACAAGUCCUCCAAAGGGUGGAGCUGUUUCAGGUAGGGUACACUUGAUGUUUCAAGUUUGGUGAAAGAAAAAGAGCUUCCUAUGUUGAUUUCGGGCAAGACAUACAUUCUGCCAUGCAUUAGUAGACCAAUUGCUUCUCUGUGCAGGAAAAAAAAUAGUGAUUGAAUCUCUCUGUCAUGUUUCUUGAUUAUCCAAUUAAUUUACCCCCAUCUAUGCAUAAAUUGGUCCGAUUGAGAUAUGCCAUUUUUUUAUGUAAUAAUCUAUAUUGGUUCUAUAUAUGACUAGAACAAUAUGACACGAUGCACAUCGGUCCGCUUUACUGGCAAUCUAUCUACCUAGAUGGAGGGGAGGCACUCGUGUGGAGCUGCUCAAUGUUCGAGGAGAUACGGCUGAUUAAGCAAGGUUAUUUUAAAGUUCUUUGUGGUUCAUGUUAGCUAGCUAUCAGUAAUAGUACAAUCUUGAUUUUUAUGUCGUUCAGGUUUACCUAACCAUCAGUAACAUUACUUUCUAUUGGAGACUUCUUACAGGAGGUGCUUAUAAAAUGAUAGUUCAACAGGUACAGAUUUUGGAUUGCGGUUAUCUAUUUAGCAGGGCAUCAGUUAACUCAAGGCAUCACUUACCAGCAUUCUUUGUUGUGUGCAGCAAGGGGAAGACAGAGAUUGUCUGAUAUAUGCGAUAGCGCAAUAUAAUUUUCUCUUGCAUAUUUAUAAUCUGCUAUUUGAAUGAUGUUUUCUGUGUUGUAGUCCAAUCAAGACAAUUUGCAACUUUGGUGUUGUGACGUUGUAGGCCGUGCUCAACAGCAAUGGGGGACUGUCGUUGAUGCCUGACCCAUGAUGCCGGCGAAGGAACGGGACUCGACGAGGGGUGGACGCCAUGGGUUCGUGAACUGGCCAAGCCUCCGUUGUUCGUUUGGUAAUGUCCGACGCAUCAGAGGCAUAGUAUGACAUGCCCUGAUUUUGACAUCGUCUACCAACAUCCGACGAAGGAGAAUCCGUCCCGGUUUCCAUCUUGAUGGUAAGUUCUUUAAUCUUCUAUCUCAUGGGAUGUGAUGUGGUUGUCUUCAUUUUGGCUUUUGACAAAGGAUUGAAAUUAGCUUAUGUGCUUCCGAAGUGAUAUUAUCAACCUUCAGCGCCACCACACUCAAAUGGCGUAGGAUAGACUGAUGUUUCAUGUGAUGUGCUUUAAGCCAUGUUUCAGCUUGUGUCGACACAACAUGUAUUUUUAGUUUCAGUUGUUGAGCUCUGCACUACAAGACCGAGAAAGACCCAUGGCUUUUUACAGACUACAAAUAGAGGGAAAUUGGCUUGUGCCUUACUAGAGACAGAUGAACCAAUAAAAUGAUUGAAAAGGCUCUUUCCAAGCAUAUGGGUGGUACACCUCCUUUAUUCUGAGAAAUAAAACUUAUGGUUAUAUGAUAUCAUCUAAGGUGAAACGUUGAAAGGGCUCUUGGAUUGUAUGCCUCGCUCAGGUUGGUGCGGUCUUAUAUUUCAAGAAAUAAAAUCUUGUGGUUAUAUGCUAUCAGUUAAUGUGAACCCGUGAAAGGCCGCUUGAAUUGUAUGCCUCGCUCAGCUCCGCCCGAUGAAGCCCUGCCACCACCAGCUAAUGCAGCCCAGGACGGCUGGAAGAAGUCCAUCGGGCAGAACUGCCGCACCAGCAGUAGGAGAGCUGCCCAUCUCCCUGGACCGCUCCAGGAAGCAGCUGGAAGAACUCUGCCGGGCAGCACUCGUCCUCCUCCUCGUCCAUGGGGGGAAGCCCCAGCAAUGAGCUGUUGUCGGGAGCGGAGUCUGGGGAAGGGAUCUGGCGAAGAGUACCGAGCUCACCGCGGCAACAGGCACGCUUGUCGCCGCCCUCAUCCCCAUGCCCUCUAGAUCGAGAUGGAAAGAAGUGAUUUUUAGGUCCGGAGGAAAGAACAGGGGAGCUGCGCGGGGGAGAGCACCGGGAGGAGGCUCGGGGGAGCUGCAUGGCGCGGCGGCUUGGCCUGGCCGGCGAGCAGGCAGAGAGAAAAUGGAGAUGGAGCAGAGUGUGGUGUCGGAGGGGAUUCGAGGAGUGCAGGUUAUGUCGGACAAUUGUGGAGGGAGUUUUCAGAAAAAUGCCAUUGCGGCAAGUAUUUGGAACCGGAGGGAGUAUCAAACUUGCAAUGUAGUACUCCCUCAAACUAAUCUCUACGAAGCUUAUGUUGAAAGAUUGUCAUGUGUACUUAUCAAAUCACUGUCAUGUUGUGCUUGCUCA